GCAGUGGUGGUUCCAUGGUAGAAUUCUUGCCUUCCGUGCAGAAGUCCUGGGUUCAAUUCCUGACCAAUGCA
rnacentral:tRNA from 1 species